AAAGCCUCUACGUACGUGUAACUAAAACUGUCUAGUAUCUGUUCUUAUUAGCUUAAUAUCUGAUACGGGUUGCAUUUAUACCUAAGAUAUUAAACUUAUUGUUGCAAGUUAGCGGAGUGCUUAAAGCCUUCUUGACCUCCACUGCGGGUCGGCCCGAUAUUCCACUAUUUUCGGGAUCGGGCCACGUAUG